rnacentral:rRNA from 1 species
UAGGGAAUCUUCGGCAAUGGACGAAAGUCUGACCGAGCAACGCCGCGUGAGUGAAGAAGGUUUUCGGAUCGUAAAACUCUGUUGUUAGAGAAGAACAAGGACGUUAGUAACUGAACGUCCCCUGACGGUAUCUAACCAGAAAGCCACGGCUAACUACGUGCCAGCAGCCGCGGUAAUACGUAGGUGGCAAGCGUUGUCCGGAUUUAUUGGGCGUAAAGCGAGCGCAGGCGGUUUCUUAAGUCUGAUGUGAAAGCCCCCGGCUCAACCGGGGAGGGUCAUUGCAAACUAGGAGACUUGGGUGCAGAAGAGGAGAGUGGGAUUCCAUGUGUAGCGAUAAAAUGCGUAGAUAUAUUGAGGAACACCAGUGGCGAAGGCGGCUCUCUGGUCUGUAACUGACGCUGAGGCUCGAAAGCGUGGGGAGCAAACAGG